GACAGAGGAUGCAAGCGUUAUCCGGAAUGAUUGGGCGUAAAGCGUCUGUAGGUGGCUUUUUAAGUCCGCCGUCAAAUCCCAGGGCUCAACCCUGGACAGGCGGUGGAAACUACCAAGCUGGAGUACGGUAGGGGCAGAGGGAAUUUCCGGUGGAGCGGUGAAAUGCGUAGAGAUCGGAAGGAACGCCCGUGGCGAAAGCGAGGUCCUGGACGUUUUCUGACGCUGAGACGCGAAAGCCAGGGGAGCGAACGGG
rnacentral:rRNA from 1 species